rnacentral:lncRNA from 1 species
CCAAUGAGAGAAUUUCAAGAUGAUUUUUGUCUUUUUGUUAUUAUUAUUGUUAUUAUUAUUUCCGAAUUUAAAUUUAUUAAACGAAUUUUUUUCUCUAGUUUAAGAAAAACACUCGGGUGGUCGACAUUCUCUCGAAUAUUAUUAAUUCCACGUAUUGUUUGCAUAGCAUUGAGAGCAGAGAGAGAGAAUACAAAGAGAAGAAACUCGAACUGCACAAAAGAUAAUAAUCGUGUGUGCGCUUUUUCUGACAGAAAUUAAAUUUUUUUUAUUUUUAUUUUUUUCAAACUAUUUUUUUUUUUAGCAGUUCAGACUUGGAGGGGUUAAAAACGCGAAUCUAAAUUGAAACGUAUACUGUAAAUGUACCUUCGAGAGUUAAGGUAUGUGUGUGUGUGUAUGUGCGUAUAUAUAAAUCAAUGGUAUUCUAAAUAUCUGCUAGGUUAUUUUCCAUUUCCGUUUCUGCAAUUGUUCGUCAUGUAUGUGUGUGUGUAAAGUCACAUAUAAAAUAGGCAUAAAAUAGGUUAGGCAUUCGGUAAUAGCAGAAGGUUAGAUUUGCCAUUUCCUCCAUAAUAGUUUAGAUGUGUUUGGUCAUCGUUUCCAUGGUAAUAUGUCAGACAAUUGUUGUUAAAUUGAGUUGAUAUCUAAUUACAUUAAUGAAAACAAGACUGUUUUACUUCUCCCUCAACUCGAGUUUUCUUAAUCACGUUUCGGAAGUUCCCAAUUUUUAUGCGUUAAUCUCGUCGCUCUUUUUUUUUUUUUUAACCAUUCGCGAAUUUUAUCAAUCAAAUUAGCUUUUAAUUCGUUAC